GGCUGGUCUGAUGGUAGUAGGUUAUCAGUACUUAUUAACAUUAAUGUCACUAAAGUUGGUAUACAACCUCCCACUGCUAAAUUUGACUGGCUUAAA
rnacentral:Y_RNA from 1 species